CUCAGGUAAUCUACCCGCCUCGGCCUCCCAAAGUGCUGGGAUUACAGGUGUGAGCCACUGUGCCCAGCUUUUUUUUUUUUUUUUUAAGAGAUGGCGUCUUCCAGUGUUGCCCAAGUUAAUCUCAAAUUUCUGGGCUCAAGCAAUCCUCCCACCUUGGCCUCCCAAAGUGCUGGGAUUACAAGUGUGAGCCACCAUGCCUGGUCAACAUUUUCUAUCUUGAUCCAGAUGGUGGUUUCAUGAGUGUAUGCACAUAAAAAAAUUCACUGAGCCAUGAAAAUAUAUAUAUAUUAAAAAUAUAUAUAUAAAAAAUAUAUUAUAUUUAUAUAUUUUACUGCAUGUAAAUCACAGCUCAGUAGAAAAGGGAGACAAAAGCCAGGUGUGGUGGUUCACACCUGUAAUCCCAGCACUUUGGGAGGCUGGGAUCUCAGCACUUUGGUGGGCAGAUCACCUGAGGUCAGGAGUUUGAGACCAGCCUGGACAACAUGGUGAAACCCCAUCUCUACAAAAAAAAAAAAAAAAAAAAAAUUAGCUGGGCAUGAUGGCGGGUGCCUGUAAUCCCAGCUACUCAGGAGGCUGAGGAGGGAGAAUGGCUUGAACCCAGGAGGCAGAGGUUGCAGUGAGCUGAGAUUGUGCCAUUGCACUCCAGCUUGGGUGACAGAGUAUGAUUCCAUUUUAAAAAAAAGAAAGUUGUUGGGGGGAGAAAGUGACAAUGUAUGAAUGCAUGUAACAUCCUUAACAUGAAGCCAGUGUCAAUUCCUGAAGGAAGUUUGAGUCCCUGGAGUGUUUCCUUCACAUGGCUGCCCAACUCUUCACAGCCAAGGCUGGAGGAAUACAGGAGAUAUCGGGAAGGAAGGAUGAAGAGUCCUGUCCAGAAACCCAGUCUGGCCACCAGAAGCUGAAUGCUAGUGCCUCUUAAUCCCAUGUCCACAGUGUGACCAUGGAAGUAGCCUCCAGCCAUCUGGGACACAGUGUCCCUCUGUGAAAUGGAGAGUUUGACAGAGGCCUGUGAAAUGCAGGACCUGGUAGCAGGGCCAGGAAGUCACAGGAGCAGGGCGGUGCAGUACAAUGCAGCAAGGACUCUUCCCAGACGAGAAAACAAUGGCAGGCAUGACCUAUCAUCACCGACUAUGUCUCUCUACUCUUCCG
rnacentral:lncRNA from 13 species